rnacentral:tRNA from 1 species
UAGCUUAAAUGGUAGCGCGUCCGCCUUUUAAGCGCUAGAUCGCGGGUUCGACUCCCGC